rnacentral:snoRNA from 1 species
GCUGUCCCUAGAGGCGCUGCAGGUGUGGCUGCUGUGUCUCCUAUGUGCCAGUAGGUGGCAGAAAGGAGCGAGGCUAGGUCUAUGCUCACUGUUCUGACCUAUGAACAGCUGAAUGAUUAGUAGUCUGAACUCC